UACGUAGGGUGCGAGCGUUGUCCGGAAUUAUUGGGCGUAAAGGGCUCGUAGGCGGUUUGUCGCGUCGGGAGUGAAAACUCAGGGCUUAACCCUGAGCCUGCUUCCGAUACGGGCAGACUAGAGGUAUGCAGGGGAGAACGGAAUUCCCGGUGUAGCGGUGAAAUGCGCAGAUAUCGGGAAGAACACCCGUGGCGAAGGCGGCUCUCUGGGACGGUACUGACGCUGAGACGCGAAAGCGUGGGGAGCGAACAGG
rnacentral:rRNA from 1 species